rnacentral:rRNA from 1 species
AUUGAACGCUGGCGGCAGGCUUAACACAUGCAAGUCGAGCGGAGAUGAGGUGCUUGCACCUUAUCUUAGCGGCGGACGGGUGAGUAAUGCUUAGGAAUCUGCCUAUUAGUGGGGGACAACAUUCCGAAAGGAAUGCUAAUACCGCAUACGUCCUACGGGAGAAAGCAGGGGAUCUUCGGACCUUGCGCUAAUAGAUGAGCCCAAGUCGGAUUAGCUAGUUGGUGGGGUAAAGGCCUACCAAGGCGACGAUCUGUAGCGGGUCUGAGAGGAUGAUCCGCCACACUGGGACUGAGACACGGCCCAGACUCCUACGGGAGGCAGCAGUGGGGAAUAUUGGACAAUGGGGGGAACCCUGAUCCAGCCAUGCCGCGUGUGUGAGGAAGGCCUUAUGGUUGUAAAGCACUUUAAGCGAGGAGGAGGCUACUGAGACUAAUACUCUUGGAUAGUGGACGUUACUCGCAGAAUAAGCACCGGCUAACUCUGUGCCAGCCGCCGCCGUAAUAC